AGUGUUAUCCAAGAAAGAGUAAAGCCCAUGCGCGUCCUCCUUUCAUAUGGCGAGCGCCGUCGUCUCGGCUGCGUUUCGAAUCCCGUUCCCCACCAGCCGACUCUUCAAUCCUGCGCCGUGGAUUAGCUCGCAUCGUUCAACGAUCCGGUUUGGCCAUCCCCGUCGGAUCACAACAGAUUCGUCCAUGAGCCAACAGAGCGGCGAAAUGGGUGCCGUCGUCGAUGCCUCCAGUAACGACGAGAACUCGUCAGAGAAACCUGACGAUGUCGUGGUACAGUACGUGGUGCUUCGUCGUGAUCUGAUCGAUUCGUGGCCACUCGGGAGCGUGGUGACGCAGGGAUGCCACGCGUCUGUGGCGGCGAUUUGAUUGUGAACCGCAGCACAUUGAUUCUAUGCACAAGGUGACUUUGGAGGUUAAAGGGGAAACUCAGAUGAUGAAUUUGUUAUAGCAACAAAGCCUUAUCCCAAAUCUCAAGUCUCUACUUUCUUCAAGAAGCUCAAGCUUUGCAAGUGAUCAUUCUCGUUUUUUUCAUUUCUAUAAGCUGAUUUAUUCAUCAUGAUUCACACAAAUGGAUACAAAUCACAAAGAGAAUUUUUAAUUUACAAACGUUUAAAAAGACAACAACACGUAACUACGUAAGGUAAGUCAGCAAUUUGGAGAUAUUAUUACAUAGAGAAGUUACAAAAGAGAGAGAGAGAGAGAGAUCUCGGUGAGAGUUUUUAGUUCAGGAAUGGGCGAUGAGGCGUUUACCGCAGGUGGAGCAAAUAAGGCGACGUUUGGAUUUGUUAUAGAGAGGGACGAAGCAGAAUCUCCACUGGCUUUCUACGUCUACCGUUUGAACCAUCCCGCCGCAGUAGGGGCAGGCUCCAGGAGCUGCGUACCUGCCGAUCACCCUCUCGUCCUGAUCGCACACGAACACCAAACACAUGUUUCCUCUUCUUCCUCUUGCUCUUUCUUAUUUUUGUCAAA